rnacentral:rRNA from 1 species
CAGCCGCCGCGGGAAUACGUAGGUGGCAAGCGUUGUCCGGAAUUAUUGGGCGUAAAGCGCGCGCAGGCGGAUCAGUCAGUCUGUCUUAAAAGUUCGGGGCUUAACCCCGUGAUGGGAUGGAAACUGCUGAUCUAGAGUAUCGGAGAGGAAAGUGGAAUUCCUAGUGUAGCGGUGAAAUGCGUAGAUAUUAGGAAGAACACCAGUGGCGAAGGCGACUUUCUGGACGAAAACUGACGCUGAGGCGCGAAAGCCAGGGGAGCGAACGGGAUUAGAUACCCGUGUAGUCCCUGUCUCUUAUACA